rnacentral:rRNA from 1 species
AGAGUUUGAUCAUGGCUCAGCCUGAACGCUGGCGGCGUGGCUAAGACAUGCAAGUCGAACGGAUGUAGCAAUACAUCAGUGGCGGACGGGUGAGUAAUGAAUCGCUAACGUACCCCGGAUUCUGGGAUAGCCAACCGAAAGGUUGGGUAAUACCAGAUGAUAUAUUCCUGUCGCAUGGCGGGAAUCUCAAAGGGGUAAUCCGGUCUGGGAGCGGGCGAUUUCGUAUCAGCUAGUUGGUGAGGUAACGGCUCACCAAGGCGAUGACGCGUAGCCGGGCUGAGAGGUCGGCCGGCCACAUUGGGACUGAGACACUGCCCAGACUCCUACGGGGGGCUGCAGUAACGAAUCUUCCGCAAUGCACGAAAGUGUGACGGAGCGACGCCGCGUGGAGGACGAAGUUCUUCGGAAUGUAAACUCCUGUCAGGGGAAAGAAAGUUCUGAUCUACCCCAGAGGAAGAGGCGGCUAACUCUGUGCCAGCAGCCGCGGUAAUUC